rnacentral:rRNA from 1 species
AGCGAACGCUGGCGGCAGGCUUAACACAUGCAAGUCGAACGGGCACCUUCGGGUGUCAGUGGCAGACGGGUGAGUAACACGUGGGAACGUGCCCUUCGGUUCGGAACAACUCAGGGAAACUUGAGCUAAUACCGGGAUACGCCCUUACGGGGAAAGGAUUAUCGCUGAAGGAGCGGCCCGCGUCUGAUUAGCUAGUUGGUGAGGUAAUGGCUCACCAAGGCGACGAUCAGUAGCNGGUCUGAGAGGAUGAUCAGCCACACUGGGACUGAGACACGGCCCAGACUCCUACGGGAGGCAGCAGUGGGAAUAUUGGACAAUGGGCGAAAGCCUGAUCCAGCCAUGCCGCGUGAGUGAUGAAGGCCUUAGGGUUGUAAAGCUCUUUUGUCCGGGAAGAUAAUGACUGUACCGGAAGAUAAGCCCCGGCUAACUUCGUGCCAGCCGCCGCGGU